GCGUCCGUGGCAGUGUUGAAGGCCAGGUUGGAUUGGGCACUCGGCAGCCUAGUCUAGGAUUAGAUAUGAUGCAGAUGGGAUUCAAGCAUCUGUUUUGCAGCCAGCUCGAGUGGAGCUCUUGGAGCUCAUGGGCGCCCCAUGCCCGCAUCAGCGUGGGUAGUGUGUGCCCUUCCUGCGCGGUGGGGCUUUGCUGUUUGGAGGCUGACGCUGAGGAGACUGUGUUUCUUCGUUUAUCGGUGGCAGCAAUCCAGCUCUGUCAGCAGAGGACUCCUGCGGCUGGCUGGCCUCAGCCUGAGAUGUUGAUGCUUCCAUCUCCUCAGGUUCUUUCUGCCUGCUCUUCUUAGCCCUGCGCCUGAGAAGUCUGACUGAGUCGCAUGCCAGAAGUGGCAGCCGGGAUGGAGUGCCUUGCGAUGCCUGCGACGGGCUGGACUGAGCCCUUGAGGAAGGUCUGGAAUCGUUGCUGAAAGAUUCGUUGGCUUUGGGCAACUUGAGCACCGCAGCCACACGAUGGGCUUUUUCCGCUUCCCGUUCUUCCUCACGGAAGCUCACGUGUUUGGUUCCCGGGGCUCGGCCCAGGUCUUCUUGGCUGUCUGUUUCUGCCUGGCCCUGCAGCUGGCAGGUCAGCGGCUGCUUUUGGUCUUCAGGCACUCCAGGGAUGGCUGGCAGCAGACUGAAAGGACAGAGCAGGAGGGGUCCGCCUGAGAGGGUGAUGGUUUUGGGGCCGCGUCCUGCAAGCCGGAGCCAGGACCCUUGGCUGCAACGCAGCCUUCCCCACAGACAGCUCACCGGCUGCCCCGUGGCUCUCCCCCGUGGGAUCCAGAAACAGGGACCCUUUGGGGCUAGGGAAUGGGCUCUCGUUGGCUCAGUCAAUCACCCCCAUGCACAUGCCAAGCCAGAGCCUCCAGCCUCACCUGGACGUAGAGCUCUCCUUGCGCAGUAAGCUCCUUAUCCUUCGGAGUUUUCCUCCAUCUAGACUGUCCGAGCUCAAGCGUUUGAUGAAAGUUGGCUUGCCAGCAAAUCUCACUGGGAUUGGGAAGGCAGAGGAGACUUACCGUCAACCCUUUGGCUCACUCACCAGGGGCGCUCAGGCCUGUUCCCAGAACAUGCGUGAGGGUCGCUCUGCUCCCCCCACUGCUGACAUCUGUGCCGCCCGCGGACCCUCCCUGAAACCAUCUCUGGCCCCACUUCUCCUC
rnacentral:lncRNA from 1 species